GACUGGUUGAGAUGGACUCUCCUUCAGGGAAAGUACCCUACAAAUCGAAACAGGAACUGAACUGCUCCAUCGAUGACACCUUAAGCACAUGCAGCUGGUUUAUCACAAAACAAGGGAAUGAACAACCGGCAUCCAUCGGGAAUGGGUCACAAGUGAUAGUCGGGUCUUGGUGUUCAAACUUCACAUACCUUACACUGCUCCAGGCCACAGGGCUUUGGGAUGGUUUAUAUACAUGCAAGUUUACUGAUGGUUCAAUAUCACACAAGGCCUCUGGAAAUGUAAGCAUUGACUUGCUUCCUGAUGAAAUCACAAUGAUAAGUGAUCCCCAGACGGCAGACUGCGACGUGCCCGAUCCGGACAAAGUGAUUGGUGUGACUGUCAAGUGUGUAAUUUUACCUCCUACCAGUCCUGUAGAAUACACUGUCACCCUGUCGGUGUCAACCUUCAACGGUGAUCCGAAAACUAUGGUCAAAGAAGAAGGAAAGUCGGCGGAAAACAUUAACUAUACGUGCAAUAUACAAGUACCUUGUAGAGAAAGAAAACCAACCAUUGAAGCUAAAUGUAUAUUCGAAAACAGCCAAAAUCAGAAUAUAGAACAAAACUUAAAGAUCCCAGUCCUCUAUAGUAAGUGAUACAGCAACACUUCUGCCAUAGCUAUCAUAGCCAGCUUUGCUCUGCAUUUCUCUGCAUGUAUAUCAUACAUCUUACAAACAACAUGUUUCAUUUAUAUCAAGAUAGUGACAAAUUUUGUGAAGCCGAAUGGCCUUGGAAAAAGACCAAGGCUGGUUCGACUGCCACCCAGCCAUGCCCGCCCAAAAGGACGGGCAACAUAAGUCGAACCUGUAAUGAAGAAGGUCAGUGGCAGUCUGAAAAGAACUACUGUGUGUCGGAGGCAAUAAACAAGUUGAGUUCUUCUGUAGAGUACUUCAAACUUGGACUUAAUGCCACCCCUGAGGUUGCUGUAGAAAUAUUUUCUGGCCUGAAAAAUAACAGUGCCGCCGGCUCCAACUUGACCCUUGGUGAUAUCCAGGCCACCAUAGGAAUCCUGGAUGGAAUGGCGGAUGCCUCUUCUACAGUCACAUUACAGGAUGACUCAAUGAUGAAUGUGAGAAUUCAGAAUGUGUUUGUAAGCCCGUCCAGACUAGGUCAUAUAGAGUAACGUCAUUUAGCAAAAAUUGGAACUAGCAACCAACUGUCUGGUUUUGCAUGCCAAAGGGAUGAACUAAUGACCUGUUGUUUAGCUGAAUGACUCAAAACUGACUAGCUGAUACGAAACUGGUGAUAGUGUUAUAAAGGAAAAAGGUCCUCCAGCCAGGGCUAUUUCCGGAAAUAUUUGUCAUGUCCUUUAAUUGGGUUAAUCAUGUCCUCUCUAUCAAUAUUGCUAGUAUAAUUAGUGCACAAUUUUUUUUAAAUGUGCUGUUGUUUCAUGAUAUUGUGGGGAAACAAAUAGAUGAAUGUUAUUCUCUUUUAGGACUUCAUAGAUUCUGCUAGCAAUUUACUUUCCACACCAUGGACUGAUGACACAAGCGCUUCAGAGAGCCUGUCUAAGAACUACCUGAAAGCAGUUGAGGAGCUGGUGGUGAACAUAAAAUUAAACCAAAGUGAAGGGCACAAUUCUUCAAACAUAGAAUUACAAGUCUGCCGAAAUGAUG
ensembl:lncRNA